GACGUAGGGCGCGAGCGUUGUCCGGAUUUAUUGGGCGUAAAGAGCUCGUAGGCGGCUUGUUGCGUCGUCCGUGAAAACCUGGGGCUCAACUCCAGGCUUGCGGUCGAUACGGGCAGGCUAGAGUUCGGUAGGGGAGACUGGAAUUCCUGGUGUAGCGGUGAAAUGCGCAGAUAUCAGGAAGAACACCAACGGCGAAGGCAGCUCGCUGGGACGGUACUGACGCUGAGACGCGAAAGCGUGGGGAGCGAACAGG
rnacentral:rRNA from 1 species